GUAACUUCAGCAACGUUAAGCCCUCCACUGAACCAGCCCGAGGCAACACAACUUCUCCUGUUUCAUUAUCGCCCGACCUGCAUUGGAACAUUCAUGAUGCGAUAAUGAAAACUGGAUCAGCGUUUGGUGGUUCCGUCGGUACAGGAACAUUAUCAGUGACAUCAUCGCGCUGUGCUUUUAAAGGCGCCAACUUCGACUGCAUCGGCAGUGGGCACGGUGACUCUACUAUGUGGCGGAUCGAAAAAAGCAGAAAAUGCCUUUUCUGCUUUUUAUGCAGUGCUGUCAUUUCCCAAUUCCUGAUCCAGUGCGGCAAUAUCGAGGCCAACCCCGGACCCCAAUCAAAACAGCUAGACACUGUGUUGCAGUUGCUACAAGACUUGAAUAAACGCUCAUCUGCGUUUCAAAGGGGACAGUCUGAGCUCAUGUUUGCCGUUGCCGAGGUAGAGCGUUCACAAAAAGAAAUAUCCGGGAAGAUUAACGAUAUCUCUAGCAGACUGUCGGCAGUAGAAACUAAGGUCGGGAUGUUUGAGCAGGUAUAGGAUGUGACAUUACCACGUUAGAAACUGAAAACAAGUUCUUGAAGACACGUCUACCAGAAUUAGAGGAUCGCUUAAGACAUGAUAACCUUGUUUUUCAUGGCAUCGAUGAUGACAUUUCUGAAACGUGGGCUCAAAUUGAAGUAAAGCUGAUUUCUCUUA